CCUACGGGUGGCAGCAGUGGGGAAUAUUGGGCAAUGGGCGCAAGCCUGACCCAGCAACGCCGCGUGAAGGAAGAAGGAUUUCGGGUUGUAAACUUCUUUUCUCAGGGACGAAGCAAGUGACGGUACCUGAGGAAUAAGCCACGGAUAACUACGUGCCAGCAGCAGAGGUAAUACGUAGGGGGCAAGCGUUAUCCGGAUUUAAUGGGUGUAAAGGGGGUGUAGGCGGGACUGCAAGUCAGAUGUGAAAACCACGGGCUCAACCUGUGGCCUGCAUUUGAAACUGUAGUUCUUGAUUACUGGAGAGGCAGACGGAAUUCCUAGUGUAGCGGUGAAAUGCGUAGAUAUUAGGAGGAACACCAGUGGCGAAGGCGGUCUGCUGGACAGCAACUGACGCUGAGGCGCGAAAGCGUGGGGAGCAAACAGGAUUAGAUACCCCUGUAGUC
rnacentral:rRNA from 1 species